rnacentral:rRNA from 5 species
CCAGACAGCCAGGAUGUUGGCUUAGAAGCAGCCAUCAUUUAAAGAAAGCGUAAUAGCUCACUGGUCGAGUCGGCCUGCGCGGAAGAUGUAACGGGGCUAAACCAUGCACCGAAGCUGCGGCAGCGACACUCAGGUGUUGUUGGGUAGGGGAGCGUUCUGUAAGCCUGUGAAGGUGGCCUGUGAGGGUUGCUGGAGGUAUCAGAAGUGCGAAUGCUGACAUAAGUAACGAUAAAGCGGGUGAAAAGCCCGCUCGCCGGAAGACCAA